rnacentral:rRNA from 1 species
GUCUACAGCCAUACUACCAUGAACAAGCCCAAUCUCGUCUGAUCUUGGAAGCUAAGCAGAGUAGGGCCUGGCUAGUACUUGGAUGGGAGACCGCCUAGGAAGUCCAGAUACUAUAGGUG